CUACUAGUACUACGACGAACAAUAAUCUUGACUGAGAAUCGAGACUGAAUUUCAAAGCUAGGAGCAUGUAGAAUCUAUGAAGGAAAGACAAAAAAUGGGGAAAUUGUGGAAGAUAGCAGCAGUCGUGGCAGUUGCGGCGGCAGGGAGGGAACUGAGCAAGCGAUAUGGAUUAGAGAAAGACGACGCUAUCAAGUUACUUGGAGAAUGGUCGGAUCGGCUUGGUGUUUGGGCGAUCCCGUGCUACGUUGCUAUCCACACCGUCACUCUCGCUCUCUGCCUUCCCUACGCCAUUUUCUUUGAAGCUGCGGCUUCUCUCCUCUUCGGAUUCUUCCCGGCCGUCCUCUGCGUCUUCUCGGCUAAAAUCCUUGGAGCCUCUCUCUCAUUCGGGAUCGGCAGGCUGGUCUUCAAGUGUUCAGGCUCAGCAAGGGAGUGGAUCAAAAGAAACAAAUACUUCCACAUACUUUCAACAGGGGUUGAAAGAGAUGGAUGGAAAUUCGUCCUUCUUGCUCGCUUCUCACCAGUGCCCUCCUACGUCAUAAACUAUGCCCUAUCUGCAACAAAUAUGCGGUUUUUGUUGGAUUUCCUGCUUCCUACAGUAAUUGGCUGCGUGCCGAAGAUUUUACAGAAUACAUCCCUUGGCAGCCUUGCUGGUGCUGCAGUUGCUUCGGCAUCUGGCUCGCAGAAGUCUAAGCUUCAGUCUUACAUAUUUCCCCCGAUUGGGAUUGUAUCAAGCAUUCUUAUUUCCUUAAGAAUUAAACAAUAUUCUACUAGUAUCAUUGUAGCUGAAUCCGUUCCUGGCGAUUCUAGUAACGUUAAGGACUUGUCUCAAACUCAUUCUGGCACAGAGGAAGGCAAGGGAGAUGAGAAAAAACAAUGAGUUCAUCAACAUUCAGACUAUUAGCCUCUCUGUCAUAGGUAAAGUUUUACAGGUUCAUUUAGCAUAACCAAACUAGGAUAGCCCAGCUGAUAAUCGCCAAAGGCGUAUGCUUGAGGGGUUUUUGUGGUGAUCUAUCUAUCUCUAUUCGGUUUCGCGCUGUACCUUGGCCCAACUUAUCUCUCGACAGGUUGUGGCAAGCCUGUUUGGCCCGAGUUUAGGCCCAACUUGACUGUCCAAGAAUAGGCAAGCCUGUUUGUGUCGUUCUCGAUUACCCAAAAAAAAAAAGUUUCUUUAGCAGAUAAUUCAUCACUAGUCUUCUGGUAAAGCUAAGAGUAGUGUGUGUUUUGAUGUCCAUUGUAUCCAUUAAUAGCUUAUUAGCUUUCCUCCCAUUCCUGUGCGUGUAAUAUAUAUGAUUUGAUAGAAAUUUUGUUGUUGAAAGGGCUAUUCCAUACACAAUUAUAGGACAUUCCCAUGUAUGACAAGGUUCUAUAUGCUGUUCUACA